rnacentral:rRNA from 1 species
UGGAUUAGGCAUGCAAGUCGGACGAAACAUCUUCGGAUGUUUAGUGGCGAAAGGGUGAGGAACGCGUGAGUAACCUACCCUCAAGUUGGGAAUAACUCUUGGAAACGAGAGCUAAUACCGAAUGUGAAUAUAGAAUCGCAUGGUUUUAUAUUUAAAGAUUUAUCGCUUGAGGAGGGGCUCGCGUCCCAUUAGCUAGUUGGUGGGGUAACGGCUCACCAAGGCAACGAUGGGUAGCUGGUCUGAGAGGAUGGCCAGCCACACUGGGACUGAGACACUGCCCAGACUCCUACGGGAGGCUGCAGUCGAGAAUCUUGGGCAAUGCGCGAAAGCGUGACCCAGCAAUGCCGCGUGCAGGAUGAAGGCCUUCGGGUUGUAAACUGCUGUCACCCGGGACGAAGAAUUGACGGUACCGGGAGAGGAAACCACGGCUAACUACGUGCCAGCAGCCGCGGUA